GACCCGCGUCUGAUUAGCUAGUUGGUAAGGUAACGGCUUACCAAGGCGACGAUCAGUAGCCGACCUGAGAGGGUGAUCGGCCACAUUGGAACUGAGACACGGUCCAAACUCCUACGGGAGGCAGCAGGGGGGAAUAUUGCACAAUGGGCGAAAGCCUGAUGCAGCAACGCCGCGUGAGUGAUGAAGGCCUUCGGGUCGUAAAACUCUGUCCUCAAAGAAGAUAAUGACGGUACUUGAGGAGGAAGCCCCGGCUAA
rnacentral:rRNA from 1 species